GGCCCCAUCGUCUAGUCUGGUCUAGGACAUUUGGUUCUCAGCCAAGAGACUGCGGUUCAAAUCCGCAUGGGGCUA
rnacentral:tRNA from 1 species